GCAAAGCACUCCUACGGGAGGCAGCAGUGGGGAAUAUUGCACAAUGGGCGCAAGCCUGAUGCAGCCAUGCCGCGUGUAUGAAGAAGGCCUUCGGGUUGUAAAGUACUUUCAGCAGUGAGGAAGGUGGAUAUGUUAAUAGCAUAUUCAUUUGACGUUAGCUGCAGAAGAAGCACCGGCUAACUCCGUGCCAGCAGCCGCGGUAAUACGGAGGGUGCGAGCGUUAAUCGGAAUUACUGGGCGUAAAGCGCAUGCAGGUGGUUUGUUAAGUCAGAUGUGAAAGCCCGGGGCUCAACCUCGGAAUUGCAUUUGAAACUGGCAAACUAGAGUACUGUAGAGGGGGUAGAAUUUCAGGUGUAGCGGUGAAAUGCGUAGAGAUCUGAAGGAAUACCGGUGGCGAAGGCGGCCCCCUGGACAGAUACUGACACUCAGAUGCGAAAGCGUGGGGAGCAAACAGGAUUAGAUACCCUGGUAG
rnacentral:rRNA from 1 species